AAGUCGUAACAAGGUAACCGUAGGUGAACCUGCGGUUGGAUCAUUAUGGGAGCGCCAUACAAUUUACGAAUUGUGUGCUUCGACCCUGUGCAUUUUUAGUACUUGAUACGUGAUUGAGAGUGCUCGUACGUGCUCACGACAAUACAAUAAACUGAGAAGCAAAUAAAAACAACUUUUGACAACGGAUCUCUUGGCUCUC
rnacentral:misc_RNA from 1 species